rnacentral:rRNA from 1 species
GGAAGGGGCGUAGGCCUACCAUGCAAGUCGAGCGGAUGACAGGAGCUUGCUCCUUGAUUCAGCGGCGGACGGGUGAGUAAUGCCUAGGAAUCUGCCUGGUAGUGGGGGACAACGUUUCGAAAGGAACGCUAAUACCGCAUACGUCCUACGGGAGAAAGCAGGGGACCUUCGGGCCUUGCGCUAUCAGAUGAGCCUAGGUCGGAUUAGCUAGUUGGUGAGGUAAUGGCUCACCAAGGCGACGAUCCGUAACUGGUCUGAGAGGAUGAUCAGUCACACUGGAACUGAGACACGGUCCAGACUCCUACGGGAGGCAGCAGUGGGGAAUAUUGGACAAUGGGCGAAAGCCUGAUCCAGCCAUGCCGCGUGUGUGAAGAAGGUCUUCGGAUUGUAAAGCACUUUAAGUUGGGAGGAAGGGCAUUAACCUAAUACGUUAGUGUUUUGACGUUACCGACAGAAUAAGCACCGGCUAACUCUGUGCCAGCAGCCGCGGUAAUACAGAGGGUGCAAGCGUUAAUCGGAAUUACUGGGCGUAAAGCGCGCGUAGGUGGUUCGUUAAGUUGGAUGUGAAAUCCCCGGGCUCAACCUGGGAACUGCAUCCAAAACUGGCGAGCUAGAGUAGGGCAGAGGGUGGUGGAAUUUCCUGUGUAGCGGUGAAAUGCGUAGAUAUAGGAAGGAACACCAGUGGCGAAGGCGACCACCUGGGCUCAUACUGACACUGAGGUGCGAAAGCGGGGGGAGCAAACAGGAUUAGAUACCCGGGGGGCCCCCGCCGGGGCCGGGGGCCCC